rnacentral:rRNA from 1 species
GAUUAAAGUUGGCGGCGUGCCUAAGGUAUGCAAGUCGAGCGAUCUUUAUUGAGCCGUAAGGCAAGGUAAAGAUAGCGGCGAACGGCUGAGUAACGCGUGGGAAUCUACCCAUAACUCAAGGAUAGCCCACCGAAAGGUGGAGUAAUCCUGGAUGUGGUCUUCGGAUCAAAGUCGCAAGACGGUUGUGGAUGAGCCUGCGUCCUAUCAGGUUGUUGGCAGGGUAAAAGCCUACCAAGCCUUUGACGGGUAGCUGGUCUGAGAGGAUGACCAGCCAGAAUGGGACUGAGACACGGCCCAUACUCCUACGGGUGGCAG